rnacentral:rRNA from 1 species
CCUACGGGAGGCAGCAGUGAGGAAUAUUGGUCAAUGGACGGAAGUCUGAACCAGCCAUGCCGCGUGCAGGAAGACGGCUCUAUGAGUUGUAAACUUCUUUUGUACAAGGGUAAACCUGAAUACGUGUAUUCAGCUGAAAGUACUGUACGAAUAAGGAUCGGCUAACUCCGUGCCAGCAGCCGCGGUAAUACGGAGGAUCCAAGCGUUAUCCGGAUUUAUUGGGUUUAAAGGGUGCGUAGGCGGAUUGAUAAGUUAGAGGUGAAAUUUGCGAGCUUAACUCGGGAACUGCCUCUAAUACUGUUGAUCUAGAGAGUGGAUGCGGUAGGCGGAAUGUAUGGUGUAGCGGUGAAAUGCUUAGAGAUCAUACAGAACACCGAUUGCGAAGGCAGCUUACCAAUCUAUAUCUGACGUUGAGGCACGAAAGCGUGGGGAGCAAACAGGAUUAGAUACCCGGGUAGUC